rnacentral:misc_RNA from 1 species
GAUGAAGAACGUAGCGAAAUGCGAUAAGUAAUGUGAAUUGCAGAAUUCAGUGAAUCAUCGAAUCUUUGAACGCACAUUGCGCCCCCUGGUAUUCCGGGGAGCAUGCCUGUUCGAGCGUCAUUACAACCCUCAAGCUCUGCUUGGUAUUGGGCCCCGCCAGUUCUGGCGGGCCCUAAAGUCAGUGGCGGUGCCUUCCGGCUCCGAGCGUAGUAAUUCUUCUCGCUCUGGAGACCCGGUUGUGUGCUUGCCAACAACCCCCAAUUUUUUAAGGUUGACCUCGGAUCAGGUAGGGAUACCCGCUGAACUUAAGCAUAUAAUAAGCGGAGGA